GGAGGAGAAGCUUGCUUUUUUUAUUAAUCUCUACAACAUGAUGGCCAUUCAUGCAAUUUUGGUUUGGGGACAUCCCUCUGGACCAAUGGAGAGGAGAAAAUUGUUUGGAGAGUUCAAAUAUGUCAUUGGUGGGUGCACAUAUUCACUAUCAGCUAUCCACAAUGGAAUCUUAAGGAGCAAUCAGAGACCACCAUACAAUCUAAUCAAACCAUUUGGAGUCAAAGACAAGCGCCUUAAGGUAGCUC
rnacentral:misc_RNA from 1 species